UCCCUGCUGGCUCAGACGGUAAAGCGUCUGUCUACAAUGCAGGAGACCCGGGUUCGAUCCCUGGGUUGGGAA
rfam:Ovis aries breed Texel chromosome 1, whole genome shotgun sequence.